rnacentral:rRNA from 1 species
GGCUUUUUGAUAAUAAUUUAAGGUCUAACCUGCCCAAUGAGGAUUUAAAUGGCCGCGGUAUUUUGACCGUGCAAAGGUAGCAUAAUCAUUAGUUUUUUAAUUGAAAGCUGGUAUGAAAGGUUGGAUGAGAAAAUAGCUGUCUCUGCUUUAACUAUUUAGAAUUUUAUUUUUAAGUAAAAAAGCUUAAAUUUUAGUAGAAGACGAGAAGACCCUAUAGAGUUUUAUUUAUUUUUUGUUUAAAAUUUUAAGUAUUGAAAAUUUUUAUGUUUAAAAUAAAUUUAAUUGGGGUGAUUGAAAAAUUUAUUAAACUUUUUUUUUAUAUAAUCAUUAAUUUAUGAGUUUUUGAUCCUUUUAUAAAGAUUAUAAGAUUAAAUUACCUUAGGGAUAACAGCGUAAUUUUUUUAAAGAGUUCAAAUCGAAAAAAAAGAUUGCGACCUCGAUGUUGGAUUAAAAUAAAAUUUUGGUGUAGAAGCUAAGAUAUUUAGGUCUGUUCGACCUUUAAAAUUUUACAUGAUCUGAGUUUAAACCGGUGUGAGCCAGGUUGGUUUCUAUCUCUACUUUGUUAUAAUAUUUUAGUACGAAAGGACCAAGUAUUAGUUUGAUAAAUUUAUUUUAGAAUAAUAUUAGUUAUUUUGGCAGAAUAGUGCGAUAGAUUUAGAAUCUAUAAAUGUAAUUUUUUUACAAAUAAUACUUGAUAUUGAAAGAUAUUAUAUUAAUAUUAGUGUCGAGUCUUAUUUUAAUUAUUUGUGUUUUAGUAGGGAUGGCCUUUUUAACUUUAUUAGAGCGUAAAGUUUU